AUUGACCGCUAGCGGCAGGCCUAACACAUGCAAGUCGAACGAGUGGCGGACGGGUGAGUAAUGUCUGGGCAACUGCCUGAUGGGGGGGGCUAACUACUGGACACGGUAGCUAAUACCGCAUACCAUCGGAUGUGCCCAGAUGGGAUGAGCUAGUAGGUGGGAUAACGGCUCACCUAGGCGACGAUCCCUAGCUGGUCUGAGAGGAUGACCAGCCACACUGGAACGGAGACACGGUCCAGACUCCUACGGGAGGCAGCAGUGGGGAAUAUUGCACAAUGGGCGCAAGCCGGAUGCAGCCAUGCCGCGUGUAUGAAGAAGGCCUUCGGGUUGUAAAGUACUUUCAGCGGGGAGGCGUUACCCGCAGAAGAAGCACCGGCUAACUCCGUGCCAGCAGCCGCGGUAAUAC
rnacentral:rRNA from 1 species